GCCUCCCAAAAUGCUGGGAUUACAGGCGUGAACCAGCGUGCCCAGCCAUAUUCACAGUUCUGUGGCUGUCCACCCUGGUUGGGCUGCCUGAAGUCACUGCAGAUGUCACUUGUCACCUGCUGGCCUUGGCUCCUAACCCCUUAGCACAGGGCCAACAAAAGCUGCGGUCCAGCUGACUGUGACUUCUGGGGCCGGCACCCAAGAGAACAGGCUUAUUGGGUGUGGGAAAAUGAAAUGGGCUUCUGCAGACCACCAAAUGAACACCUUAUCUGGCAUACAAAGGCUCAGGACAGAGGCCUAACCUAGGAGGCAGCAAAGUGGGCAGAAAAGACCUUCGGCUGUGGGGUGAGCAGCCCUGGCUGGCAGUCUCAGCUCUUCCAAGUACUAGGUCUGUUGCCCCGAGCAACUGGCUUAACCCUCAGACACUCCCCUCCUUUCCAAAUUGAGAAAAAUCACAGCCACUUUGGAGCUGCUGUGCAAGUAAACUAUCUCCACGUACAGUCAGCGCUGGACACAUGUUGCUCUGUUCCUGUCUAAAACACUCCAUCCCUUUAUCCAAGCUCCUGUCUCUCAAACAAUUCCCAUGCUUCUUGAAAAUAUCAGCUCCAUGAGGCCCGGGAUUUUUGUUUGUUUGUUUCCUGCUGUAUCUUCAGCUUCUAGAACAGUGCCUAGCCUAUAUCAGGUGCUGUAUACAUAUUUGUUGGCUGACUGAGAGCUCCUAGCAACGUGAUGAAAUGGGCUGUGCAGGUAAUAAUACCGUCAUUCUACAAAAUCACAAAAGGAGGCCAAGAGUAUGUGGCUCUCCGUGAGUCACACAGCUGGUCAGUGGUGAUGCCAGGAGUCAGUGACCUGGGCCUCUGGACACCUAGAGCCACAAUGACAGAGCCAGAUAUGUGUGAGCCUGGGCAAGCCAGCAGGGAUGAGAGACACCAGCCAAAACGCCAGGCUGCCCCCACGGCAUACCAACUAGCUCUAUCUAUAGUUUCCUCCCAGCUGAGCUGCAAGGUCUGCCUCCUAAUGAGCCUCUGCCUGGCAGGGGGAAGGUUUCCCUGCGGCUUACAAGUCCCGAGGGCUGACAGGCCCUGAGGGGUUUUGCCUUAAAUGGACUUGAGUCAGUCCAACACUCAACUCUUCAGGAAGAGGAGCAUCAGGGCCUCAUCUGGGGCAGGCAGUGAGACUGGCAGCAAUCUCGGCCCCCAGGUUGCACUGCGCAACACCGGGCAGUGCCGCGGUGACCGUGCCUCCCGUCUGAGCCUCAGCUUCUGCAUGUGAAUACCGAGAACGGUACGAUGCCCUUCAUCGAGGCCAUCUGUGGAGAUGCCUGAUAGGGCGCCUGGCCCUCCUGGGAGCUCAUCUGUGGCCGGAUGCAAAAGAGAAGGAACUCACACAUCAAGGGUGCCAGGCAGAAGUGGGAAGCUGCGGUGACUCCUUUCCUCUCUCCAGGCUGGCAGGAUGUAUCCCUAGGAUCUUGACUCCCCAGUCUGUUGGCCAGGAAUUGGGACCAGCUGCCUCUGCCUGCAUCAACACCCUGCUUCCCUGCUGCCAUCUGCUCCUCCACUGGGAACAAUGAAAAGACAAGCUGCUGAACUCCAGGCCUGGGCACCCGGGACACCCAUCUGGGUUUCCCUGGAAUCCUGGGCACUU
ensembl:lncRNA novel transcript